UACGGGGGGAACGAGCGUUGUUCGGAUUUACUGGGCGUAAAGGGCGCGCAGGCGGGUUAGCAAGUCAGAGGUGAAAUCCUACAGCUUAACUGUAGAACUGCCUUUGAGACUGCUAAUCUUGAGUACGGAAGAGAGAGAUGGAAUUCCAGGUGUAGUGGUGAAAUACGUAGAUAUCUGGAAGAACACCAGUGGCGAAGGCGGUCUCUUGGUCCUAUACUGACGCUAAGGCGCGAAAGCGUGGGGAGCAAAC
rnacentral:rRNA from 1 species